rnacentral:lncRNA from 1 species
GUAGCGCCUCCGCUGAGGGACCCGGCGGGAACAAACCGCCGCCGCGGCGGGAGCUGGGCUCGAGUGGCCGGAGGCGGGCCCUUGUCUUCGCCGCCGCUCCUGCACCCUGUGCUCCCUGAAGCCGCCGCCUUCAGAACGCUCAGCCCCUGGAUGUUAAGGCUCACUCGGGCGCCAGCCGCAGCCAGGGAAGUGGCGGCGGUCCCCACCCGUCCUCUCCCCAAGGCGGCGCCCGGGCCACCGGGCCGAAGCGCAGUGGGAGCGCGAGGCUGAGACGCCGGGACCCACGCCGCCCCAGCGCGGCCCGCCGGCGCCCACCCGAGCCCGCACGGCUUCCAGCCCGAGGGGAGACGCAUUCGAGUGAUCACCAGGAGCGAACUUGGCGCCCGCAGCCUUGGGCCUGGGAGAGCCUGUUCGGCGUCUUGCAGCAGUGCCUGCGAUCCCGCGUGAGUCCGUCGCUCCCUCCGCGAAAACCUGGACUCUUUCCCAGAAGCCUUGGGCUCCAGCACCAUGCCUGCUGCAGCCGCCAAAGAGCGGGAAGCCACAGGCUCUGCGGGUCUUGGUUACAGCGUCUCUGGUCGUGCCGGGCCUCCUUCUGCAUCUGUUCCACGGCCCGGCCAUCUCCCUCGUGCAGCCCAGAACAAUUGGGAGGAAGCGUUGGCGGGCGGAGGGGGAUGCCUGUUGGGCUUUUCCACUAGUUACUGAGUGUUUUUUGCGAAGAGUACGUUGCUAUCAGUGGCGUCCGGGUCGUCUCUCCCUCUCUUCCUUUUGGUCCCCAUAAAUGAGCUGUUCUCGGCUCUGGGAAAGAAAAGCCCUCCAGCGAUUAUGCGGAUCUAAUUAAGUCAAUCAGGAAACUGCCGGAGAGCGGCACUGGCUUGAAGCGGAGUUUGUCCUGAGGCACAGCGGAACGAUUGCACGCGGCCCUUUUCAGCGGUUCGAGCUCGGCCAGCGCCGGGCUGCAAACGGAAGCCUGAGCUGGGCUUGGGGAACUACGCCCGCAGAUUUCUCUAAUUUUAUUCACAAAACUGGACACCCUCAGGGAAAGCGGCAAAGCCGGCGCGAGCCUCCUUCCCACUCUGGACCUAGCUGCAGCUCCAAAGCGAGAUAGCUGUCUAGCCUCAGCCGGUACAGCUCCCGGCCCCUUUCUCCACCCGGAUCUUCGGCUGCUCAGAAGCGAUCAGCUCCCUUAGCCCAGGUGGGAGGCGGGAGACUCCAGAUCCUGUGACCCGCGGAGGCAGACCUCAGACAUGUUCCCCAUGCACAGAAAUGACUGGGGCUCCAGUGUGUGCACCUUCAACUCUGAAGCCCACCUGCCCACUUCAGGCGCUGGCGCGGAGAUAACCACCACGCGUCUGCCGGGCAAAGUUCGAGAGUGAAUUUACAUCUUCUCUUUCCGCUACUCCUGGCCACUGUCCCCUCCCAGCCCCAUCUCCCCCGCCCCCAACCCUGGACUAUGUGGUAGGGGACUCGCUUAAGCACCCAAGUACUGCGCGGUUGUUGAGACCAAGGCGAGCUGCGGAG